rnacentral:rRNA from 1 species
GACGAACGCUGGCGGCGUGCUUAACACAUGCAAGUCGAACGAUGAAGCCGGAGCUUGCUCUGGUGAAUUAGUGGCGAACGGGUGAGUAACACGUGAGUAACCUGCCCUUGACUCUGGGAUAACUGCGGGAAACUGUAGCUAAUACCGGAUACGACCCUCGGAGGCAUCUCCUGGGGGUGGAAAGAAUUUCGGUCAAGGAUGGACUCGCGGCCUAUCAGCUAGUUGGUGAGGUAAAGGCUCGCCAAGGCGACGACGGGUAGCCGGCCUGAGAGGGUGACCGGCCACACUGGGACUGAGAUACGGCCCAGACUCCUACGGGAGGCAGCAGUGGGGAAUAUUGCACAAUGGGCGCAAGCCUGAUGCAGCGACGCCGCGUGAGGGAUGACGGCCUUCGGGUUGUAAACCUCUUUCAGUAGGGACGAAGCGCAAGUGACGGUACCUACAGAAGAAGGACCGGCCAACUACGUGCCAGCCGCCGCGGUAA